rnacentral:rRNA from 1 species
GACGAACGCUGGCGGCGUGCUUAACACAUGCAAGUCGAACGGAAUCCAUCCGGUGGCAACACCGGGGAAGAUUUAGUGGCGAACGGGUGAGUAACACGUGAGGAACGUACCCCGGUCUCUGGGAUAACUCUCCGAAAGGAGGGCUAAUACCGGAUACCCUCCCGAGACGACAUCGCCUUGGGAAGAAAGAUUCAUCGGAUCGGGAGCGCCUCGCGGCCUAUCAGCUUGUUGGUGGGGUAACGGCCUACCAAGGCGACGACGGGUAGCUGGUCUGAGAGGACGAUCAGCCACACUGGGACUGAGACACGGCCCAGACUCCUACGGGAGGCAGCAGUGGGGAAUCUUGCGCAAUGGGCGAAAGCCUGACGCAGCAACGCCGCGUGGGGGAUGAAUGCCUUCGGGUUGUAAACCCCUUUCAGCAGGAACGAAAAUGACGGUACCUGCAGAAGAAGGUCCGGCCAACUACGUGCCAGCAGCCGCCGCGGUAA